rnacentral:rRNA from 1 species
GAUGAACGCUGGCGGCGUGCCUAAUACAUGCAAGUCGAGCGAACGGACGAGAAGCUUGCUUCUCUGAUGUUAGCGGCGGACGGGUGAGUAACACGUGGAUAACCUACCUAUAAGACUGGGAUAACUUCGGGAAACCGGAGCUAAUACCGGAUGAUAUUUUGAACCGCAUGGUUCAAAAGUGAAAGACGGUCUUGCUGUCACUUAUAGAUGGAUCCGCGCUGCAUUAGCUAGUUGGUAAGGUAACGGCUUACCAAGGCAACGAUGCAUAGCCGACCUGAGAGGGUGAUCGGCCACACUGGAACUGAGACACGGUCCAGACUCCUACGGGAGGCAGCAGUAGGGAAUCUGCCGCAAUGGGCGAAAGCCUGAGGGAGCAACGCCGCGUGAGUGAUGAAGGUCUUCGGAUCGUAAAACUCUGUAUUAGGGAAGAACAUAUGUGUAAGUAACUGUGCACAUCUUGACGGUACCUAAUCAGAAAGCCACGGCUAACUACGUG